GAGUCAUUUCUUACUUUCCCUCUCUGUUUCUGUCUCUGCUCCACAUCGCAUAUACUAGGACUCUGGAUGCUGUGGACAGACGUUUCUUCGGCUUGCUUCGUGUUCAAAUUUCUGGCCAGAAUGUUGGGAUUCUUCUUAGUGGGUACCUGGUUCCACAGACAAAUCCAACAGCUUUA